rnacentral:rRNA from 1 species
UACGUAGGGCGCAAGCGUUGUCCGGAAUUAUUGGGCGUAAAGAGCUCGUAGGCGGUUUGUCGCGUCUGCUGUGAAAACUCGAGGCUCAACCUCGGGCUUGCAGUGGGUACGGGCAGACUAGAGUGCGGUAGGGGUGACUGGAAUUCCUGGUGUAGCGGUGGAAUGCGCAGAUAUCAGGAGGAACACCGAUGGCGAAGGCAGGUCACUGGGCCGCAACCUGA